GAUGUGUAGAAUCCAGAAUUUUGAUCACUUCAUAUCCACUAAGAGGCUGCAUAAUUCACAACAUCAUGUCACCAAAAACCUUAUCUAAAAUUGAAAACCAACAAAACGAGAAAAUUGAAAUUUCCUACACAUUCAAAUAGAACUCAUUUCUUAAAUUUUCUAUGAAGAUUGAUUGUGUUAACCAGCAAGGAAUGAUUGAAUUCUCAAUGGACCUCAACUCGUUGAUCCAAAGGGUCUUACGGGUACUAAAAAUUUACAUCAAGAAAUCUCAAAACAUCCAAAAAAAAAAAA
rnacentral:misc_RNA from 1 species